rnacentral:rRNA from 1 species
GACGAACGCUGGCGGCGUGCCUAAUACAUGCAAGUCGAGCGAAGCGGCGGAUGGGUGAGUAACGCGUGGGUAACCUGCCCUUAAGUCUGGGAUACCAUUUGGAAACAGAUGCUAAUACCGGAUACUAAAGGAUGGACCUGCGAUGCAUUAGCUAGUUGGUAAGGUAACGGCUUACCAAGGCGAUGAUGCAUAGCCGGGUUUGGAGAAGGAUUGGCCACACUGGAACCGAGACACGGUCCAGACUCCUACGGGAGGCAGCAGUGGGGAAUAUUGAACAAUGGGCGCAAGCCUGAUGCAGCCAUGCCGCGUGUAUGAAGAAGGCCUUCGGGUUGUAAAGUACUUUCAGCGAGGAGGCGUUACUCGCAGAAGAAGCACCGGCUAACUCCGUGCCAGCAGCCGCGGUAAUUC